rnacentral:lncRNA from 1 species
AGAGAGAGGGAGGGAGGGAGAGAGGGACUUUCCAUAGGAGGGGAGGAGGCCGUUGGAAGGGUUGGAGGGGAGGGUGCGAGUGCAGUGGCCUAGCCGUCUAUAUUCCGCGUGACUAUAGGCGGUCCGGUGGCUAGAGGCUAGAGUCCGCGUAUAAUGUAUUCUCGAAUAUCGUACACACUCUCUUUCUCUCUCUCUCGUGAUCGAUAUAAGCCCCGACGCGAGCCGGAGAUGCACGAAGACCUACCACCUCCUCAUCCUCCUCCUCCUCUUCCUCCUCUUCUUCCUCCUUCCUUCUCCGGAGCAGCCGCCUGUGCUCCUCUCUGCCGGCUGCUUUUUUCACGCGGAGUGCAACGCACGCCGGAUCGCAACGCGCGAGAAAACCACAUAUCUCUCUUUCUCUCUCUCUCUCUCUCUCAUAUUCUCCCUCGAUUAUCCAUGACAAUGAAAGCCGGGAGGGAGAGUGAAUCCGCUGUGGAACGCAGGGAGCUGAGAGGAAUGAAUGCAUAAUCUGUCGUGGAUCGUCUAAACGGUAUUAAGGAUUGCGCCACUUUCUUCGCUCGAUCGACGGUGGCGUGCAUAACGAUCCUCGCUCGACUCCUACGGGAAAGAUCGCGGGGACACGCUUCAGCCGGGCUUUAAAGCUCCUCGUCGCACUACCUCGUGUAAUUUCGAAAUUUCAUUUAUCACGGUGAACGCGCUAAAUCUUAUUUCGCUCUCUCAACUUUUAAAUUACAUUACACGUAAACGGAGGAUAAAGGAUGCAACUGUAAUUUCAUCUCUGCAAAGUUGGACCCCUCCUCUCCCCCUCGCUGCGCAAAGAGAUGCUUCAAGGUGCAUGAUAUUUGCCUAUACGUAUAAGAAAUUAAGCGAUGAGAUACACACACAACAUACACUAUCUCUUUCUUGCAACAAAUACAAAGUGCCACCAUACCGAGUCCAAUAUUUACAAGCUGAUUAUUUCUGUCGAAACGCGCACCACGUCCGAUUAAUCUGAUAUCGACACGAGCGCGAUUAAAAAUGAAGCGCGAAACGUGAGCGAUUUAAUUUAUCACCCUAAUGUGAAAUAUGUAGAUCUCUUUCAUUCGUUCGGUUCAUGCAUCGGGAUAAAGGUUUUUUUGUUAUCCAAGUAAAUGCACUUUUACUAUCAUUUCCUGUAUUAUAAACGUUAUCAAGUAGAAAACAAUUUUCUUUACAAAUUUAUGAAAUAUUUCUUUAAAUAUAAAAUGACACUAAAAAAUGAAUAUACAUAAUCAAUUCGUUACCAAUUCGAGAUCCAACUCGUCGCCAGGACAUUUUAUUUUCCCAGUCGCUGAGAAACAGUGGUGAUAUCCCGCGGGUGCAAUUGCGACGACGACGUUUAAUCGUCGCAACAAUGAAGUAGCAGGAGGGGGCAGCGAGAAACCAAGGGGUUUAUUAGUCGAUUAUUAAUCGAGUUUAACUCGAGAAUUGUACAAUUUCGGAGCAAACGGUGAUUGACUCACCUCUCUUACGCGCACGACCUCGAGCGUUUCCCUUUUUCUUUCAAAGACCGGAGGACGGGUGGGAAGGAGAAAGAGGAAGUGAAGUGCGCGAGGAAGACGCGCGCAGAGGAGAGGAGAAAACCGAUGGUGGGUGGGGAGAGAGGAGGUUGCCGAUGCACGUUCCAGAAAACUAGCCGCCAUGUCGACUCCCGCGUCUCCCCUGUCUUUCUUCCUCUCGUCUUUUCUCUUUCUUUCUCUCACUCCCACCCCCCGCCCCUUUCUUCCGUCAAUGCCAUCGCCUGUAUGCACCGCGCCACCACGAGAUAUCGUCCGUUGCACUUUUCAAGCUCGCGUACAAGUGCGUAGAAGGAGGAAGACGAGGAGAGAAUUGGCGAGAGGUGCAACGAAAAGUGGAGAGAGAGAGAGAGAGAGACGGAGAAAGAGCUGUCCUGCGCGCGGGAGAAAAUAAAAAUCGUUAAGCGACGCUCCCGUUUGAUGUUGCGAACAACGAGGUGCAGCUCAUCAUCCACUCGCUCUCGGCUCUGCGAACUGCGACCUUCGCGCGGAUUCGAUCCGAUCGGCUGGACCCGGUCGAGCGAGAACGCGAAUUACGGAGGCUAAUCGCAUGCGAGUUGAGGAACGCGAAUUGUAGGCUCUCCCGCGUGUCCACGCGGGAAUGUGAAGCGAGGUUGCGACCCCCCCCCCUCCCCUUUUCUUUCGUCACCCUCGAAGUCGCAUCAAUGACGACGACGGGGAUUUUCGAUCACCGCAUAAUAACGUCGGCCGAUUUUCGAAGAGCGACCUUAGGCGGGAUAACGGGCUCUCCUCUCUCCCACUCGUUGCAACGGAGCUGGCAACGCCAUUGGCAAACGGCAACGCUGGCCGUUCGAUCGUAGGAGGGAUAAAACGGGGAAGGUACACCACGCGCGCGGCGGAGUGGGGAACCCCCGUCUCGUUCGUUCCGUUCGGUACCUCGCUAUCUCGCUCGCCCCGUUUUCGCUGCCCCUCGCUUCCUACGCCGCUGGCACUGAAUUUCGCACCGUCGAAAAAGGGCUACGCGGAGAGGAGGUAGGGUUCGAAGGAAGCGAAAGCCGCGCGGGCAGAGGGGGAGGAGAAACGAAGGGGGGAGGAGGGCGACGAGGGGCGGAAGGCAGACCAUGUGCGCGAAACUAUUCCGAAUGCGUUCUCUCUUCGGCUCUCCUUCGCGUGGAAUUCGUUGCGAUCGUCCUCCCUUUCUCUACCCUCCCUGGGUCUAUAUCCUUCUCUCUCUAUCUCUCUCUCUUUCUCUGUUUCUCUUUCGGUCUCCUUCGAAUCCGCGGAAAAGCAAAUUCUCUUCCGUGUCACUGAACCCGUUGGCCAUCUGACCCCAUCGUUUUUCCGCACAAGGUGCCUGCCUCGACCUCAUCCCUCGUCGACGAAUGUAGUGUGGCUUUUCUCUAUCUCUCUCCGCCUCCUGCUCUCUCGACCCCGUGCCACGUAUCGUGCCGCGGUGCCGACUAGUCCAACUGAGUCAUUCCGAAGACGCGAACAUCCCUUCCGUGAGGAUUAAUAGUAGACUCUAUGCAUCUCCAACAGCGACUCGUUCAAACUUCUGCAACACGAUAUUAUCGUUAGCAGUCGCAGCAUCCAAAUCGCGCGACACGCGAAAGAUAAACAUACUCGAACUGUGUUUCCUAGGGGCUUGACGAUCCGGGACUGCACUCGAGAGAACUUGGGGGACAUGGGACAGCGAAGAAGAUUCUCGAUAUCUUCAGUGCUGAUGCUGUCGCGCACUGAUGAUCGCUCGCGAGUCGCGAGGAAAGCCACCCCUGCGACCGGCGAAACUGUCGAUCAUCCGGUCCUCCGUCGACCAUUCGAGAUUAUCGUCGCGCGGCCGCGAGGAAAGCCUCGCGGGACAUUGGCCUCAGCGGGAGCCAAUAAAAUCCCUCUCUCUAUCGGGUAAGCGACACUCUCCCGCUCUUUCCGCUUUCGCUUACCCCCUCUCGCGCGCGCACCCUCUCCUCACUUCUUCCUCCACCCUUCCCGCGAGGAAAAUCCUCAAGAAGGCACGAGGGAGGAUGAGAUGCACCGGGAGAAUUCUAGCGAGCGAGCGGACGAGGUGACCGGAUAGAAUGAUAGAUCAUCGGGCUCGCUCCGCUCGCGUGUAAGCGAGACACGGAGAGCGAGAAACGCAUCGCAACGCAACGCGCCGCGACAGUUCCUCCGUUCCCCUCCGACCGUCACGUUCCUCCCAUCCAUCGCGGUGCAGCGCAGCGGCGGCGACGACGGCGGCGGCGGCAACGGCGGCGUCGUCGUCUGCCCGUCCGUCCGUCCAUCCAUCCGUCCGUUCAUUCGUUCGUCCGUCGCGAGUGCGGUGGUGCCCGGGCACGCAGUCCGUUGCUGUUACCGCCGAAGGUUGCUUCUCUUCCGCUCUCUCUCUAUCUCCCUCUCUCCUCCCCUUUCCCUCUCUAUCUUUCUAUCUUUCCGCGCGGUUUUCCGUUCGCCGGAGGGACGCAGAGAUUCGCGAAACGUCGGCAAAGUGUGCCGACAAUGUCGUCGUCCGCCCGCCCAAUCGAUGCGCCGAGGCGGGCGCGUGCGUUCCCCGGUGUGUUGUGCGUUGCACCGCGCGAGUCCGAUCCGAGAGUGCGACAUAUGCAUCCGCGCCGACAACCGAGAGUGCGAGGAGAGCCCCGGCGGUAUGCCAGUGGUGGUGACAGUCCUGAAUGGCCGACGACGUCGCGUGUGCGAUACGACGCAUCGGACGGACGGACGGACAGAGGGAGGGAGGGACAGACGGUAUGGCACACGGAUGCGUCUACGUUGCGUCGCAUUACGUCCCUCCUCGUUCGUACUCGCGAGCCGUGACGAGAGAAAGAGAGAGAGAGAGAGUUUUUCCUGCUGAGAGUGCGCGAGUGCCCGCCCCCGCUUGCGUUUCCACGAAGUGCGUGAGCCAGUUAGAAUGUGCGGCGCACUUUAGGAAUACGUGUGUGGUGUGCGCGUCGAUAGAUGCAUGGGAUCGCCGACGAAAUUGUGCAACUCGAGAGAGAAAAACGAAAACGCGAGUAGAUCUAAGAGGAGCGAAGAGGAAAUACAGACGGACAGAGAGAGAGAGAGAGAGAGACAGAGAGAGAGUCUUGGUGACCGUGCGCUGCAUUAUCGAUGACGCUUGCACUUCUCUCUAUCUAUCUGGUUAUCUGUCUCACUUUUUCUCUCUCUAUCUUUCUCUCUCUCUAUCUUUCUCUCUCGUCUGGCUAGCUCUACCCAACGCGAUCGAACCCACUCCUCCUCCCCUCUCCCAUCCCCUUUCCCGACUGCUCUCGCAUAUGGCUGGCGCGCGUUUUCCGCGGUCAGCCACGCCGAUGUUUCGCGAAAAUCAUUUUUCGCAUUCCGCGCGGUCGCGCCCGACUGCGGCGGCACCCUCUCUCUCCCCCUCGCCACCCCUACUGCGCCUCCUCCUCCUCCUCCUCCUCCUCCUCCUCCUCCUCCUCCUCCUCCUCCUCCUCCUCUUCUUCUCCCUCUCGCGGCGCGAUCGACGAUUGCAAUUUAAUUUGGCCGGUCGGCGAAAAUUAGAUUAGUGUCUCGCGCGCUUCUAUUCUCAGACGUCGCUCCGCGACGACGCGGCACGUGGUGCGAGGUGACAAACGGCGAACUCGUGGACCCGGACAGUGCGGGACAACGUCGCUUCGACGUCGAAGAAUCGGCGAGAUCGCGGGGUCGAGCGAGAGGAAGACGUCUUCAACGCUCGGACGCAUCUCUCUGCCCCGUGAAAUGCGCGCCUCGGACGUAUGUAUCGUGUUGCCCAUGCACGGUCGAUCGGGUUCCGGUCCCGCGAGAGGACGUCGUUGCGUCGUGUGUGUGUGUGUGUGUGUGUGUGUGUGUGUGUGUGUGUGUGUGUGUGUGUGUGUGUAUGUGUGUGUGUAUUGGAACUCGGAGAAUUUGUCCUCCCCGAAUUCGAUACGGAGGGAAAUAUUGAGUGUCGCGAGUCGUCGCCAGGAAACGGGAGAUCGUCCGAGAGACGAGGGAAAGAGGGCGAAUCUUACGCGUCCUCGUCCUCCGCUCGUUGUCCGAUGUCGAAAACGGAUGACACCGGUCCCGCUGGAUGUUCGUGCGUUUAUUCGCGUCGGGGCGGUGCUGAGGUAUCAUCGCGUUCGAACGUUUUGUUUCCCCUUUUUUUUUCUUCUUUACCUCGGACACAGCCGCGCAAUUUGGAGCUCGCGUCCGAUCCGCCGCGCCGCGGCGCCUUAUUUCCGCACCACGCUCGAUCCCAUUCAAAUUGAAUUAACGAGCGCCGGCAUACGUGCUCCCUCGUCUCGCUCUCCUCCCGUUUCGCCUUCCUCUCGCGAGCACAUCUCUACCAUCAGCUGUGUAUGGCGGCCGAAGGUUGUCCCGGUUGCGCGAAACUCGCCUCGGUGUCUCUAUUCCCGAAAGAUGUCGACUUUCGGGAAGUGCGUGCCGAAACGAUAUUUCCCAGUUUCCGGAGCCGACGACUCCGUCGCGACUUUAAUCGGUCUUUGUCUCGAGGUGGAGUGCACGGAAGGAAGGAAGGAAGAAAGGAAGGAAGCGAGCGAACGAGCGUUUUUCGCCGCGAGGAGAGAAAGAGAGAGAGAGAGAGAAAGAAAGAGAGGCAGAAAGAGAGAAAGAGAGAGACGAUAAAAUUACCCUUAACCUCGGUGAAUACAUACGUCCGGGGUCAAUGACACCCUGUUGUCUCGUUUCCCCUCUCGCGCAUGCGCACGCACGGUUUUGACAGUUUCGCGGAGCGAAAGGAGGAUUCUAGGAGCGUAGGACACGACACCGCUCCGCCGACGCGACGCGACGACGCUGCUGUUUUGCUGCGUUAAUACGGAACAAUGAUCGGUUUCCGGUGUGUGCGGCGGUCGCCGGAGAGAGUGCGCGAGAUAUUCCGUUCAGUGGGACAUUUCCCCGAGGGGGAAAGAGGAGCAGGAACGACGGAGCUCGAAACAAAAUGAAACUGCUGCUGCUGCUGCUGCUGCUGCCGCUGCGAUGGAUUUAGCAUGGUAGCAUCGUCAUCCCUUCGCGUCGUAUACGUGGACCUCCGGAUCCAAGGUUCGCCGCAGACUGUUUCGGACGGACAUUCGCUCUGGACCAGGAUCUUGCCUCAGGAUUCCUCUCUGGACUUCGUCUGCGCGGACGGACCCAGGGGAAGACGAUAGUUCUCGGCUAUACUUGAUGACACUAACCCGUAGAUCCGAACUUGUGGGCUUUUUUAUAUGCAUACCGCAAGCUCCUAUCUACCGGUACAUGUAGUCAGGCCGGCGUGAAAACUCUUUUCGACGGAUCCCCGCCCCCCCCCCUCCUCCCCUUCCGUCACCAUCAUUGUGUCAAUCAUCCAACAUCAUCCGCCAUCAAACCUCCGUUCCCCCGAAUGCCCGUGGCGCUUCCGGUUUAUCAGCGACAGACUUCUUGCCGAGUAAUUUCCUCGCACGUGAAAAAGGGCAUCACGUACCGCAUCUGUACCAACCGUUAAAAAGCGUGAUCGACAUGCGCCGACUUUAAGUUAAGGAAUACGUCGUCCGAUUAAACUCCAGGGAGUUACCGCACGUUGCUUGCGUUUGUGCGUCGACAGAAACGCGCUCCUUACAUGUGUGAUAUAUUGUAAAGCGACAUCGCGUCUCAGAUGUUCUUAUUGCAACACAAGCGCAUCUCUCCGGAGAAAUACGGAGAGUGGAGGUUCUUUUCGUGCGGCGGGCCAUUUUUUGUAAAACCAAGAGAAAGAGAUUGUAAGACAUUGUAAAGUUAGUCAGGACCGAGUAGGUAUUAAUAGGCGAGCGGAAUGAUUAUGAGAGCAACAGAGCAUUGUGAAGUAACAGCGUGAGAAGGAAUUUAAUUUUUUCCGUCGCACACAAGAUUGUCUGUUAGUUUGUAAUUGCGAUCGAAUGCAUCCGCCGAUAUGACAUUGUAACGGCGUGUAUUUAUUCAACUGUUUAUAGAUUAUCGAUUAUAGAUAUGUUAGUCGCGAAAUUCGGGCGCACCGAGCCGAGCGAGCGCGCGAAGGAGAUGAGGCGAGGCGACCUGUGUCGAAAAGUCGGUCGGGUUAUAAGGGCGUGGAGAAGAAACGGCGGAUGGAGCGACGGACGAGGGAAGAGAAGCCCCCGCGACGAUGUCUGGGUGAGGUAGUAGGUUGUAUAGUAGGGAAUGGAAAUUCGCGAGAUACGAAGUCCACUGUACAACUUGCUAACUUUCCCGGUCGUCGGCGCUACGACGUUGCUGGCGUCGAUGCUGCGACAGAACCGCUCCCGAGGAACCUACUCUCGCGAGACCCGCGUCGCGAGCGGGCGAGGAAGCUCUACGCGGAUUAAAAAAAAAAAACUUGUUUUUUUCUUUCUUUUUAACGCGAAUGUAUAAAUCGAAGCGCCUUGCGCCUUACGACGAAUGUGUACGCGUGACAUUUUCUCUUGGUGUAAAUGCGUGAGUGUGCAUGUGUGUACAUGCGUGCGUGCGUGUGUGUGGUGUGUGUACAUGUACGUAUGCGUGCGCGAGUGGGUGUAUGAAGACAAGGUAGCGUAUAAUUCCGGCGAGGUAACCGUACACUUUCGUACGAAGCGUGAAAGCGAUUUUUCUUUCGAUCGGUAUUCAUAAUUAAUUCUUACUUCAGGACCAUUUUAACUAACGUCUUAAUGUGCUACGGUUUUAUGAUUAAUUCAUAACGGUACUUAAGACGGUCCUAAGUGUAAGAGCCAACUAUGAAUACCGGGGUACUAGAGAAGCCCUUUCUCGAGAAGUCUCGGGAUACACGUUCAUUUGCGUACACUCUCUUUGAAACGUUAUAAUUGCGUAACGAGCGCAAGAAAUAUGUUUCUGUCCCUUCAUUGGCACUUCCGUUUCUCGUUUCUCCAAGCGCAAAUCUCGCGGAUCCAGCUGGGCUUCCGUUCGAGAGCCAGACUAGAAUUUCCUUGGCAAAUUGCGCGACUCGCUUGAAACUCGCGACGAAACAGUUUUCCAACCCCUCCACUUUGUUGCCGUGCUUUCUUCGAGAGAAUUCGAGAUAAUAAUUCGCGACGCACUGUCCGGGACAGCCGUGAAUUUGCAUAAGAUCCUCUUGCAAAAGAGAAAGGGCGGAACGAUCGCGGAGCGCGAGGGUGAGAUGAAGAUGGCAUGAGUGGUGAGAAUGAGUGUGUGUGUAUGUGUGUAUGCGUGCGUGUAUGUGUGUGAGAGAGAAAGAGAGAAAAAAAGGGCAAUGGCGGGCGGGCUGAUUGUAAAGCCUGCCGCGUCGCCGGUUCCCUGAGACCCUAACUUGUGACGUCGCGUCCGAUAUCUCACAGGCUAGAUUCUCUGGUAUUGGCGAUGAGUGCUGCCUUUUGCCGAUCAAAAGUCAGUCCUAGCAACAGAGAUACAAACGUCGUCGCGUUUCGACAACUUGCAUCGCGCCGCAUUCAUGUAUAUUCUGAAUAUAUUUUUCUUUUCUUUUCUUCGUUAUGUAUCUCCGUAUUUUGCUGUGUGAUUGAGAGAACCAACGUUUACUUGACCUUAACGCGUCGUUUAAAGGAAAUUUAUAUUACGAUUUCUCUUUCUCUAUCGAAUCUAGUUUAGAUUCACUUAUUCCUCGUAAAGAAUACGAGAAAAAAAUAAAAUUAUUAUUAUAAUAAGACAUUUCUUGUCACUGAAUACUAUAAAAA